GCUGUGAUGGUGUAAGGGUAACAUCUAGGCUUCCCAUGUCUCUCUAAACUAGCCUGCCUAGGCACCGAGUUCGAGUCUCGGUCACAGCA